CUGUCCCCAAGUUCCCACCACCACCUCACCCUUGCGUCUAUGCAUCUCCCCCUCCUCCUUACUACUACUAGAAAGCGGCCAUGAAUAGCUCAUGCUUUUAUGGUAAUCUCAUUUAUUUUUAAAACUGUACAUGUAAAGACUAGUAGUUCAGAAUUACAUUAAGCAUCAAAUUUAAGCACCGUGUUCUAUUUAAUUGCGUUCCUAUUGAUUAAGUGACAAAUAAAAGAGAUUGAUUAAUUUGUUCUUGUAGGAGAGGCGAAUGGUAUCCGAAUAAAGAAAGCAAGGGUUUGAUGGAAGGCUUACUUGGAGCAAGAUAGCGAUCAAUCGAGUUGCUGCGUUUUAUUCUCUUUUAUCUUUGUUUUUUAAGAAAAAUAAACUGCCACACGUAGAAACAGAAAAGUUCUUGUCAUUUUCAUGCAUAUGGAUUGUUGCUGUGUGUUUCAAUCAAUUCUCUGGCGUGUCAUUUGUAAUUUUCAACCUUCAUGCAUGCAAAUGCGAGACCUCUUUCGUAUAAUAAAAUUAGGGGAUUGUCACUUUCCCCCUACAGUAAUUAACAUAUAUUAUUUAUUCUCUUACUAUUUUUAUAAUGGCCAAAAACCCACUGACAACAUAAGUUUACAAUAUUACCUUUAUUUUUAACUACUCUUUUAUUUACAUUUAUUAUAAAUUAAAUAAAUUACAUGAAUAGAAACUAAAUAAAAAAAUUAAGUAUUAAAAAUAAGAAAUAUAUGUUGAUAUGAGGAAAAAAAUUAAUAAUAAAAUUUUUUUCUUGUAAUUAUUUAUUUUGUGAACAUUUUCUUAUAACAUUUUGUAAUAUUUUAAAAUUAAAUGUAAAAAGUAUAGGCAAAAUAUUUUAUUAUUUAUCUUAUAAUAAAUUGUUAUUUGUCAUUCAAAUUUUCUUAUAAUAAUUUUUUUUAUCAUUUUAUAAUAACUUUCUUAUAUAUUUAUUAUAAGAAAAUUUUCACAAAAUAAAUAAGUACAAGAAAAAAAAUUUAUUAUUAAUUUUUUUCUCAUAUCAAAACAUAUAAUAAUUUUUUUCUCAUAUCAAAACAUAUAUUUCUUGUUUUUAAUUCCUAAUUUUUUAUUUGAUUUCUAUUCAUGUGAUUUAUUUAAUUUGUAAUAAAUAUAAAUAAAAGAGUAAUUGAAAAUAAAGGUAAUGUUGUACACUUAUGCUAUCAGGGGAAGUUUUGGCCAUUAUAAAAAUAGUAUGGGAAAAAUAGUAUAUGUUGAUUACUAUAGGAGGGAAAUUAGCAAUCUCCCAAUAAAAUUAAUAUACUUCCCAAGACCGUCUUAUCUUGCGUUGACUUUUUACGUUCCUUUGGUGAUGAUUUUGACGUUUGAAAUUGAUGACUAUUGUUUUUGUAAACUCUGCAUGGAUUUUUCGUGCAACUACAGAGCGCAUUAACGAGAGACUUAUUCAUGAGGGUCCAUGCAGAUCAGUGUCUAAUUAACGAAUAAUUAAUAUAACUUAAAAAAUAUAUAGUUAACAAUUUUUAUGGGUCAUGCUCAAUUGCAGAUGUUCGUACAAAAUUUCUUGCUAAUGUAUACUUGAGUAUGAUAAUAAGUUUUAAUCAUUAUUAAUAAUUCACUUGAUAAUAUUAAACAAAUUUUCAUAUCAAUUAAGUUACAAAAUUUCUAUGACAAAUUUCCACGUACUGGAACCAUGCAAAAGGGCUUUAUUCAAACAAAGCUGCAUAGCCGUUGGCAAUUAAAAUAAUUUAUCAAUUAAGUUAAGUAGUAAGAAUUUUAUUGUGGAUUCGAUUAAUUAUUUCAAGGAAAAUUCUAUCGAUAAUGCCGUAACGAAAAUUACACAUAAAAUUAGUAAAUGUAAAGUAAAACCAGUAAAUUCAUAAAAAAUUAUUAAUUAUUUAAAAAAUUAAUAUUGUUUUUACAUAAUUUUAGUGCAAAAUAUUUUAUUUAGUUACAAAAAAAAUUUCUUUAAUUAAACAAAAAAAUUAUACAGAAAAAAAGUGGAAUACGUUUUAUUGAAUUGGUUACCAUAAAUUCUGUAAUUAUUCUAGGACAUUUGUAUACAUUUUUUUCUCAUUUUCUAUAAUGACAUCUAUUUAUUACACAUGUUAAUUAAGCGCAAUUAUUUAUCUUGAUGUGGAUCAAGUAAAAAUAAAAGAAAAGAUAUAUCAAUCAAAUUAGAUAUAAUUUUGAAUACUAUGUAUACUUUAUGUAGUUUCAAACUUUUUACUUGUAUUUGGAGACCAUUUAAGAUUGUUGUUGAAGAAGUGUAGAAAGAUGUAAAAUAACGUCAUCUUACAACAAUUAUAAUGAUAUCUAUUUAUUACACAUGUUAAUUAAGCACAAUUAUUUAUCUUGAUGUGGAUCAAGUAAAAAUAAAAGAAAAGAUAUAUCAAUAAAAUUAGAUCUAAUUUUGAAUAGGGAGAUUGCCAAUUUUCCCCCUACAGUAAUCAACAUAUACCAUUUUCCCCCCUACUGUUUUUAUAAUGGCCAAAAACCCCCCUGAUAGCAUAAGUGUAUAUUAUUACUCUUAUUUUCAACUACUCUUUUAUUUAUAUUUGUUAUAAAUUAAAUAAAUCACAUGAAUAGAAACCAAAUAAAAAAUUAAGCAUUAAAAACAAGAAAUAUAUGUUUUGAUAUGAGAAAAAAAUUAAUAAUAAUUUUUUUCUUGUACUUAUUUAUUUUGUGAAAAUUUUCUUAUAAUAAAUAUAUAAGAAAGUUAUUAUAAAACGAUAAAACCAAUUAUUAUAAGAAAAUUUGAAUGACAAAUAAAAAUUUAUUAUAAUAUAAAUAAUAAAAUAUUUUGUCUAUACUUUUUACAUUUAAUUUUAAAAUAUUACAAAAUGUUUAUUAUAAGAAAAUGUUCACAAAAUAAAUAAUUACAAGAAAAAAAUUUUAUUAUUAAUUUUUUUUGCUCAUAUCAAAUCAUAUAGUUCUUAUUUUUAAUACUUAAUUUUUUUAUUUAUUUUCUAUUCAUGUAAUUUAUUUAAUUUAUAAUAAAUAUAAAUAAAAGAGUAGUUAAAAAUAAGGGUAAUAUUGUAAACUUACACUGUCAGGGGGUUUUUGGCCAUUAGAAAACAACAAGGGGGUAAAUGGUAUAUGUUAAUUACUGUAGAGGGGAAAGUGACAAUCCCCCUUUUGAAUAUUAUGUAUACCUUAUGUAGUUUCAAACUUUUUACUUGUAUUUGGAGACCAUUUAAAGUUGUUGUUGAAGAAGUGUAGAAAGAUGAAAAAUAACUUCAUCUUACAACAACUGUGAAAGAUAUUAAAAUAAUAUUUUUUCAAAAUCCAAUUUUUAGCAUAAAUUUCAUCCUUAAUUAAACAUCACAUGUAUUAUAUAAAUGAAAAACUAACAUUAUUCAAUUUAAAUUAAAAAAUAAUAAAUAUAUGAGGUAAUAAAUAUUAUAACGAGUUUUUAUUUUAAAAUUGUAAACUUUUGUUUCUGACAGUAACUCUUAUAUUAAUUUACUUAUUUUGCCUUUUAUUCAUAAGUUUUAUGCAUAAUCUACAAACUUUAUGUUUUAUUUUGCAUUUAAUGUUGAUUUACCUUUUUUAUAUUAUAUUUAUAAGUUUUCAUUUGAUUUACCAGUAAUACAUCAAUUUAUCAAUUUUAUAGUAAUUUACUUAUUUUACCUUCUUUUUACAAUUCUUAUGUUUCAUUUUCAAAAUUUAUGUUUUAUUUUACAGUUAUUGAUGAUUUACUAGUUUUAUAUUAUGUUUGCAAGUUUUUGUUUUAUUUACUAGUAAUAAAUUAAUGGGUAAUUUUUAAUUUAGUCCUCAUGUUUUCGAGAAAAAAAUUCAGAGACUAGAAAUUUACUAAAUGAAUCAAUUAAAUUAUUUCAAGCACAAACUAAUGUCAAUCAAGUCCUUAACUUAAUUGCUUAGUUAAAAAUAUUAACAACAUUGAGGAUAUUUUAGUAAAACAACAAUUGAGCCCUUCCUCAUUCUUUAUUUUUGACAUGUGGCAAUAGUUUAAAGUAAAUUCAAUUAACCUAAUUAAGUUAAGGAUCAGUUCUUGCAAACGAAAAAAAAAAAAAAACCUACAAAAACUGCCAUAAUCUUCGUGUGAGAGGAGAGAUCGAGAGAAUGUGGGAUGGUGCCAAAAAUGUUGUAUAAAUCUACUAUGAUUUUGACCAAAGCUUUGUUAGCAUUUGUUGAGUUCAAGUACUGGAGAGAACCUAAUUAUAAAGGUCAGUAACUCUAUUUUUUUAGUGAUUUUUGCAAGCGUUUUUUGAUAAAAUUGUUUCCAUAUUUAGUGAUCGUUGUGAAAAAUUAGGUUUUUCAAGUCUAUUUUUCUAAAUGACAAACUAUGUUUAAUUACUGGUGGUUUUUUUUUUAUUGAAUGUGGUAUUUUGUUAAUACAUUGUUUUUAAUUUGCUCUUCAUGUAAUUAUUAGACCAAAUACGCCAUAAUUAUAUUUGUAUUCAUUUCAACCAAUUGGUAUUGUUAUAUUAAUAAGAUUGAAUUCAUUGUAUUUGCUUCUUUGUUCAUGCAAAAAUUGAAUUCUAUGUGUUCUUAUGAGUGGUAAUUUUUCUAUAUAUUAGAAUAAAUUCACAAUAGUUGCUAAUUUCUUUCUUUUUGCUGGGUUAUUUUUUCUUUUUAGUUUUUAUUUUUUAUAUGUAUUAGAUUGAAUUUGCUUUUGUACUUUUUUUAGCCGAAUUACAUGUAUAUUUCAUUUAGGUUAAGUUUUUUUGUUCUUUGCUAAAUAAAAUUGUAUUGGUUUAUCCUUUUUUGUUGCAAUACUUUUUGUUUUAAAUUGAUGCAAGUAGCCAUGUUACCUUUUGUUUUUCAGUUAAAAUUAAUGGGGUGGUGUAUGAGAUAGGAUAUAGAGAACCAGAGGAAUAUAAGAUUAUUAGGUUGUUUCAUGAAAUUCAAGAAUUCAUGGUUAAGCAUGGACAUAAUGAAAUGGAUAUGAUUGAAAUUUCUAUUGUAUUGCCAUGGACUACAAGUAGGCAGAAAAAGCUAAUUUCAAACGAUAGUGAAUUGUAUUGGGUUUUUUAGGAGUUUUUUUUUUUAUCAAUAGUUGUCAUGUCAUUGAGUUUGAGGUGCACACUGGGUCAGGUGGUCAGUCAUGUCAUGAAAAUGUUGUAAUAGGAUCUGAAAAUCUUAUCAAUAUAGCGGUUGGGUGGGUAGUGAUAAGUUUGAAAAAUUUAGUGAGGAUGGCUUUAUCGGAGGGCUCUCAUCUAAUGAAGAGAAUGGUCUCUCACAUAUGUAUAAAUCCAUUGUUGAUAAUGAGUAGAAACCAAAUCCAAAUAGUUUAAUUAGUCUAAAAGUAGGAAAUACAUUUGAAUCUGUUGCAUUAUUAAGAGAGGUUAUAAUGAAGUAUGCAAUCGAAGAGGGUUUUUAGUUGAAUAGGAUUAAAAAUGAUGGUGUUAGGUAUUAUGUCAAUCUAAAAUGCACUUGGAAACUUAAUGCUUCAUCGAUGGUUGACGGGAUAACUUUUAAAAUUAGGUAUAUUAAAGGGAAACAUGAUUGUCAGAUUAAAUAAGUUAACAAAGAUGCAACAGCACAUUGGAUGAUGUACAUGUCAUAAUGAGAGAGCUAAAAGAUAAACAUAGGAUUGAAUGUGAUAAACAAGAACUAUGCAGGGCAAAAGAAAUUGCACUAAAAAACCUAGGUCUUGACCAUGUUGCUUGCUAUGGAAAGCUUUUGAAAUAUGCUCACAUUCUAAUGAAAAUGAGUAGAGGUGCUUGUGUCAAGCUAAAGUUGAUAGGCCAUUGUCAAAUAGCCUAGUUUUUCAAAGGUUUUUUUAUCAUUUCCCGCACUUAAAGUGGGGUACCUAACUGGGUGUAGACCUUUCAUAAGAUUGGAUGGGUGUCACUUGAAUGGGCCAUAUAGGGGAGUAUUGUUAUCUGUUGUUGCAUUAGAUGCUGACAGUAGAAUUUUGCCACUGGCUUUUUGCAUAUGUGAGGCAGAAAACUAUGAUAGUUGGGGUUAUUUUUUUUAUCUUUUUUGUAUGAAUUCAUUGGGGCCGAUGAUCAUAGACCUGUGACUAUUAUUAGUUAUAGACAAAAAGGUCUUUUAUGGCGACUAAAAAAAUAUUAGCCUAAUGCUAGCACUAGAUAUUGUGCUAGGCAUAUCUUUGCCAAUUGGAAGUGCAGGUUUCCUGGUUUGAAUGUGAUGGGGUUAUUCUGGAAAGCUUGUAGGGCUGCAAAUCAAUAUGACUUUGAGAGGGCAAUGAGUUAAAUUAGGGCUAAAGACCAAAAUUGUUGUUGCUUAAAGAUUGUGGGAAUAUGAGAUAUUUCCUUGGAAACCAGCAUUGGCUCUAAGUUAUUGCUUAAAGAUGUCAAACAUGUACCAUAUAUUCUUCUUAAUUUGAUCUCUACAGGCAAGCUUGAUGAUGAUGGUUAUACCAACUAAUUUGGUGAAGGAGUAUGUAAGCUCACCAAAGGCUCCUUAGUGUUAGUUAAAGAGAGGAAAGUAAACACCCUCUAUGUGUGAUAACUCUAUGAAACGAGAGUUAUUAUAGAAAUUCUAAACUUAAAUCAAUAUUACUUACAGAGUAAAUGAUGUGUUUCUAUUGUAUUUUUGUUACAUUGUGUAUAAACAUUCAUUUUAGUUUAGUCUUAAUAAAUUUUGCUUAAUUUAGAAUAAUUCGUGCUUAAAUUGUGUGCAUAAUUAUAGGUGUCUAGAAGCUCAUAUCUCAUGGAAGGAGUGUUGAUGCAAUAGGCUUGUAAAAAUGAGGAAGAACAUGGCUACAAAAGAAUUGAAACAAAUCUGGAAUAAUGUAGUGUUGUAGCCGUUCUUGUAGCAACCAUUGCUGUAGCAAUCCUGGAACAACGAUAGAGAAAAUUUAGCACGAGAUACUUGUAGAAUCAAGAUCUGCAAUUUCUUAAUUUGACUUAUGCGCGCCCUGGGCUUCUGUUUACCCUAGUUUUCAGUUAUAAAAAGAGCACGCAUCAUAUGGUAAAAGGGGCGGUGAAUUAACAGCAAAGAAAUCAAGAGGAAAAGAAUGAAAAAUCAGAAUUCAAGGGAGAACAAGUCUGCACCAGUGAAGAUAUUGGCAUAACUAUUUGGAUUCAAUUUUCAUCGUUCUUUACUUAUCCCUUUUCUUACUCUUUGAUUGAACCGAUGGAUUUCAUCGCUGAUACUUUGUUGUUUGUUUUUCUUUUCCAAAGUAUGAACUAAAUUUGAUUGUAAUUGAGUGACAAACAAUCUCAAUGGGUUCUUGACUGUUCUUAUGAGUUAUUAAAAGAUUGCUGUAGCAUUUUGCUGUAAUAGCUUAUAUUAGAAUUAUUAUUUCGGUUGACCUCCCAUUUAAUGGUUCAAGUUAAGAGAGAGCCACAAAAUGGCAUGUCUUAGUGGAAAUUAUUAGAGUAAUACUUGAUCUUAAUUUAAGUUUUCUGGAUUGAGUUUAACUUGAGCCCCAAAAGAGCCACACUUGAGUUAAGAUUUGUGAAGAACUAGAUAUAGGGAUUCACCUUAUAGGGUAGAGGGGGUGUAUGUUCAUAAUGCCAUACCUUAGGUGAAAUGACAACUGGUCAUUGUUAGAGUGCUUAAGGGUAUGAGAAGUCCAACAAGCGACAGCUGAGGAUGCAAAAUAAUUUUGCACUGUGCUGUUGGAAUUGCUGUAAUAACUGGUGUUUAUUUGAACAGAACAGUCAGCCCAUGAAUAGAGUUUGAUCAUUCAGCUACCUCAUUCUCAUUAAAUUCUUCUUUACGCAAUUCAUCUAAUUUACUUUAUUACUGCAUUUAUUUUAUUAAAAUUGUUAAUUUCGGUAGUAAUAAACUUUAAUUAGAUUUCUCUUUAGAUAAAAGAAAUUUGCACUGUCGUGAUUGCUAUAGCAUUUCUAGUAAUAUCAGUUCAUGUGGAGACGAUCUUGAAUAUUCAUCAUUUUAUUACUUGUUGUGUACACUUGCACAUGAUAUCAAUAGCAAUUGAGUUAAAUUAAAUAACAAGUUUUUGGCGCCGUUGCCGGAGAUUGAUUGUUUAUUUUUGAAGUGUGAAGUCAAUCUUGACAAAUGCCAACUUGAUCUAAUUCAUUCUAUUUAUUGACAGAUCAUGACUUGCAUGGGCAAAGGCAGAUCUGUUGAAUUUCAAUUUGAUCCUGAGAUUGAAAGGACUGUAAGGAGAUUGCGAAGAGAGUGAAGAAAUUCAAAAACUGUUUCAAAAAUGGAUAACUUGCAAGAUGUGGGAAACUUGGAUCCUCACGGGCCACUACAACCUGUCAAUGUUCAAGAGGGGCAAAUGGGCACGUUAAUCAAAGACAACCAAGCAACAACAAUAUCAUUUACAUGGAAGACGAUAGAGAUAGGGUUAUCAGAGAUUAUGUUGUGUUAACUCCUUAAGUUGUACAUCUUGGAAUAGUCAGACCUGAAGUGGAAGCCGCCAACUUUGAACUUAAACCGGUAAUGUUUCAAAUGCUACAAAUAGUGGGUCAAUUUAAUGGACUGUCAUCUGAAGAUCCUCAUCUCCAUCUUAAGUUUUUUUUGGAAGUAAGUAAUGCUUUUAAAACUGCUGGAACAACGCAUAAUGCUUUGAGACUGAGGCUUUUUCCUUACUCCUUAAGAGAUCGAGCAAGAGCAUGGUUGAAUUCCUUACCAUCUGAUUCCAUCACUACAUGGAAUGACUUGGCUGACAAAUUCUUAAUGAAAUAUUUUCCACCAACCAAGAAUGAAAAAUUGCAAAAUGAGAUCACCUCUUUUCAUCAACUUGAAGAUGAGAGCUUGUUUGAGGCUUGGGAGAGAUUUAAAGAGUUUCUCAGAAGAUGUCCUCAUCAUGGCAUUCCCUGUUGCAUACAGCUAGAAACCUUUUACAAUGGGUUGAAUCCAAGUACAAGAUUGAUUGUCGAUGCUUCAGCAAAUGGAGCCCUAUUAUCCAAAUCUUACACUGAAGCUUAUGAAAUUUUGGAGAGAAUUCCUAACAAUAACUACCAGUGGCCAUCAACUGAAAAACUGUAGCAAGAGAAGCAGCAGGGGUACAUAACAUAGAUGCAAUUACAGCACUGUCAGCUCAAGUAACAUCAUUGACUAACAUGGUAAAAGCCAUGACUUCUACUUCUACAGUAGUAAAGCAAGUUGCUGAACUAUCUUGUGUGUAUUGUGGUGAGGAGCAUGUAUUUGACAAACUGUCUAGGAAAUCCAGCAUCAGUAAACUAUGUGGGAAACUUCAACCGACAGCCCUAGAACAACCCAUAUUCAAGUACUUACAACCCUGGAUGGAAUCAACACCCAAAUUUCUCAUGGAGCAAUCAAAAUCAGCAUGCUUCAGCACCUAGUGGACAGAACAAACAUGCUCAUCCACUUGGUUUUCAUCAGCAAAAUUAAGAGCAAAAACACACUAGCCAUGAUCAAAUCACCUCAUUGGAAACACUUUUUAAGGAAUGUAUCGUAAAGAAUGAAGCAAUUGUGCAAAAUCAAGCUGUAUCUCUGAGAAACCUGAAAAACCAAAUUGGACAGUUUGCCACAGCAAUGAGUAGUAGAUCUUAGGGAAGUUUACCCAGCAAAACAGAAGAUCCAAGAAGAGAGGUAAAAAACAUUGUAAAGUAAUCAACUUAAGAUAUGGGAAGAAUGUUGAUAUUGCUGUUGAUGUGACUAAAAAGAGGUUGGAACUUAACUCCUCACAAGAACCACCUCAAGAUGAAAUGAUGUUACAGCAACCCAGCCACUAAGAUACUGGCACUAGUGGUCAAGCUACAGCAACCUUGGAAGAAAAUCACCCAAUACCUAUUGAAGAAGAUGUUGCAACACCAGUGGUGACAAAUUACAAUAAAUCAAAUGAGCAGAUAUUGGUACCUCUUGAAGUUGUACAACAAUUUAGGCAUCCACCUCCUUUCCCACAGAGAUUCCAGAAACAAAAACAAGACUAAUAGUUUAGCAAAUUCCUGAAAGUGCUGAAACAGUUACACAUCAACAUACCUUUUGUGGAAGCAUUAGAGCAAAUGCCUAAUUAUGUGAAAUUUCUAAAAGAUAUUUUAACAAGAAAAAGAAGGUUGGGAGAAUUUGAAACUGUUGCUUUAACACAGGAAUGCAGUCACAUGUUUCAGAGUAAGAUUCCUAAAAAAUUAAAGGAUCCAGGAAGCUUCACAAUAUCAUGUUCAAUUGGAACUAAGUACAAUGGCAGAGCACUCUGUGACUUGGAGCCAGCAUUAAUCUAAUGUCAUUAUCUCUAUUUAAGCAAUUAGGAGUAGACUUUGAGUCUGAUAAAGAGGUACCAAUUAUAUUUGGAAGACCUUUCCUGGCAACCAGGAAGACUCUGAUAGAUGUUCAGAAAUGAGAGCUAACCAUGAGGGUGAAUGACCAACAAGUCACCUUCAAUGUAUUAGAAGCUAUGAAGAGUCCUGAUGAGGCAGAAGAUUAUAAUUUUUUUAGUGUUGUGGACCUUGUUGUGGCAGACAGAAUAAAUAGAUGCUGCAGUAAAAAGGUUAUCAAAGCUGCCACCUUUGAAAGCUUUGAAGAAGAAAAUGUUACAGCAAACCAGAUAGAUUGGAUGGUAGAAAGGCAAUCUAAAAGACAUAGCAGAUUUAUCGAACCUCUAAAUCUUUCAAACAGGGACAUAAAGACAACUUUACCAUCUAUUGAAUCAACUCCUACUCUUGAAUUAAAAUUGUUACCUUCACAUUUGAAAUAUUCAUAUCUUGGUGAGAACAAUACACUUCCGGUAAUCAUUUCAUAUUCUUUAGAUGCAGAUCAAGAAAGAAGUCUGGUAUAUGUGCUUAGGAAAUAAAGAAAAACAAUUGGAUGGACUAUGACAGACAUUAAACGGAUCAGCCCAUCCAUAUGCAUACAUAAAAUUCUGUUAGAAGACUGCUAUAGCAAUUCAGUAGAGCAACAGAGAAGGCUAAACCCCAUUAUGAAGGAAGUUGUAAAGAAAUAAAUCAUCAAAUGGCUGGAUGUUGGGAUCAUAUACCUGAUAUCAGACAGUUCAUGGGUGAGCCCAGUACAAUGUGUUCCAAAGAAAUAAGGAAUAACAGUAAUAGAAAAUGAAAAGAAUGAACUUAUUCCUACAAGAACAAUGACUGGAUGAAGGGUAUGUAUGGAUUAUAAGAAGCUCGACAAAGCCACACGGAAGGAUCACUUCUACUUUCAUUUAUAGAUCAAAUGUUAGACAGAUUUGCUGGAAAAUAAUAUUAUUGUUUCCUAAAUGGGUAUUUAGGUUACAACCAAAUUGUUAUACCCCCAGAAGAUCAGGAAAAGACUACAUUCACCUGUCCUUAUGGAACUUUUGCCUUUAAAAGAAUGCCCUUUGGUCUGUGUAAUGCUCCAGCAACUUUCCAGAGAUGUAUGAUGUCUAUUUUCUCAGAUAUGGUGGAGCAAACAUUGGAAGCCUUCAUGGAUGAUUUCUCAGUUUUUGGAGAAACAUACACUGAUUGUUUACAUAACUUGGAAGAAGCUCUUAAAAAAUGUGAGAUGACUAACUUAGUACUCAAUUGGGAAAAAUGCCACUUCAUGGUGCAAGAAGGCAUAAUGUUGGGUCAUAGAGUGUCCAAGAAUGGCAUAGAGGUAGAUAAAGCAAAAAUAGAAGUGAUAGAUAAACUGCCACCUCCCACUUCAGUCAAGGGUAUUAUAAGUUUUUUGGGACAUGUUGAAUUCUACAGAAGAUUCAUAAAAGACUUCUCCAAAGUAGCUAAACCAUUAUGCUCACUACUAGAACAUGACAAGCCUUUUCAUUUUGAUAAAGACUGUCUUUAAGCUUUUAAAGAAUUGAAGAAAAUUUUGAUCAUUGCACCAAUGGUUAUAACACUAGAUUUGACUCUAUCUUUUGAGCUGAUGUGUGAUGCCAGUGACCACUCUGUUGGGGCAGUGCUGGGGCAGAGAAAGAAUAAGAUUUUCCACUCUAUAUACUAUGCCAGUAAAACUCUUGUUCAAGCUCAGAUUAAUUACACCACUACAGAAAAAGAGCUGCUAGUAGUAGUAUUUGAUUUCAAUAAGUUUAAAGCUUACUUGGUGGGUACUAAAGUGACAAUCUACACAGAUCAUGCAGCCAUCAAGCACUUAAUCUCAAAGAGAGAUGCCAAACCAAGAUUAAUAAGAUGGGUAUUAUUGCUUCAAGAGUUUGAUUUGGAAAUUAAGGAUAGAAAGGGGACUGAAAAUCAAGUAGCAAACCAUCUAUCGAGGCUGAAAGCAAAUACGAGCACAUUGACUAAACAAGACAUCACUGAAACAUUUCCUGAUGAACAACUGUUAGUGCUAUAACAUGCACAGAUGCUACAGCAACCGAGAUCUCCAUGGUAUGGAGAUUUUGCUAACUACUUAGUAAGUGGAUUGCUACCACCUGGGUUGAAUUUUCAGUAGAAAAAGAAAUUUCAUUUUCAGUAGAAAAAGAAAUUUCAUUUUCAGUAGAAAAAAAAUUUUCAUUUUCAGUAGAAAAAAAAUUUUCAUUUUCAGUAGAAAAAGAAAUUUUCAUUUUCAGUAGAAAAAGAAAUUUUUUCAUGAUGUUAAAAGCUACCAGUGGGAUGAUCCAUACUUGUAUAAGUUAUGCUUAGAUCAGGUAAUCCGAAGAUGUGUUUCAGAGGAAGCAAUUUCACAUAUACUGCAAUAUGGCCAUGCUGCAGCAUAUGAAGGACAUUUUGGUGGACAAAGAACAACUGCUAAAGUUCUACAAUCAGGUUAUUACUGGCUUUCUAUUUUUAAGGAUACUUAUGAGUUUGCUAAACGUUGUGACAGAUGCCAAAAGACAGGAAACAUAACUCAAAGACAUGAAAUGUCAUUAACAAACAUUCUGGAAGUGGAGAUUUUUUAUGUAUAGGGAAUAGACUUCAUGGGCCUUUUCCCACCAUCCUUUGAGAAUUUUUAUAUCCUGGUUGCUGUGGAUUAUGUCUCCAAGUGGGUAGAAGCUGCAGCAUUACCUAUCAACGAUGCAAGAGCAAUAGUGAAUUUUCUUCAGAAAAAUAUUUUUUCCAGGUUUGGCACUCCACGAGCAAUUAUUAGUGAUGAGGGUACUCAUUUCUGCAACAAAGCAUUUGCUGCAGCAAUGGCCAAAUAUAGAGUCAAACACAAAAUUGCGACAGCAUAUCACCCACAAUCCAAUGGCCAGGCAAAAGUAUCUAAUAGGGAAAUUAAGAAGAUUCUAGAAAAGGUAGUGAAUCCUUCAAGAAAGGAUUGGUCAUUGCGAUUACAUAAAUCUUUAUAGGCUUUCAGAACAGCAUAGAAGACACCACUUGGCAUGUCUCCCUACCAAAUUGUGUAUGGAGCACAAAGCAUAUUGGGCACUGAAGCAAUUAAAUUAGGAUAUACAUGCUGCAACAGAGCAGAGGAAACUUCAACUAUGUGAACUUGAUGAAUUACGGUUAUUCUCAUAUGAAAAUGCAAGAAUCUAUAAGGAGAGAACAAAACAAUGGCAUGACAAGCACAUCCAAUAAAGAAAAUUAAUCCCUGGUCAACUAGUUCUGCUCCAUAAUACUAGGUUAAGACUAUUUCCAGGAAAGCUGAAAUCUAGAUGGUCUGGACUUUUCAAGCUGCUCAGAAUUUACCCUCAUGGGGCUGUUGAACUCUUAGAUGGAAAGACAGGCCAAGAAUUCAAAGUUAAUGGGCACAGAGUUAAGCAUUACAUGCAUUCAGUUACAGAUUGUUCAAAUGAGGUCGUACUCCUUAGUAAACCGGCAUUGUGAGCAUUCAAGAAAGGUCACGUUGAAGGACCUUAAAUCAAACAUUGAAUGGGAGGCAACCCAUUGCUGAGGCAGUCAUUUCAAAUGAAGUGGAUCCUCCAUGUUUUUGUUGUAGUAUUUAUUUAUUUAUUAUUUUUCUUAGUUAGGAUUGUUUAAUUUUUAUCUUUUAUUGUUUUAUUUUAAAAAAAAACGAAACAUGCCAAGUCACGCAAUUCUUAGAGUUGGAUUCAAUACUGACAAUUGGUGUUGUAAUAUUAACAGGUUACAAAGGCAAGUUACUUGACAGCAACCAUCUGAGGAGAUUGUUGUGCAGAUUGCUAGAGCAUACAUUUUGUUGCUGCAACAACCAAUUUUAUUAUUACAGUAACUUAACUACGGAGCCUCACAUUUUACCGUUGGAGAUAACAUGUGACAGCUAGUUGGGUGAACUCAGAUAAAGAUUGGGGAAGAAUGCAUAAUCUCUUAAAUAACUGCAUCAAUAUCUCUUUCCUAUUUUUAUGGGAUAUGCUUAAUAAAUUCAAAAAUUCUUCCCUAAUUUAUCUCUUUUACCAAAUUUAUUUUAUUUAUUUUGCACCUAUAUAAGAGUUUCAUUGUGCAUGUUGACCUCUAACACUAUUUUCUUUUCCCUUCACAGUCACAACCCCUCUAUUUUAUAACCUCUGCUCUUCGUUUCACUCUUGAACAUAUUACCACAGUUAUCCUACUACUGCAGUAAUGCCAAGGUAUAAAAGGACAGCCAGCCGACUAAACGAUCUAUCACAAUUUUAAAGUUACCAUGCGGAAGAGAAGUAUGAAGAAUUUAUUGAACCGCGCAAGAUUUUGGAAGAAAAAGGGCUUCAGUUCCCACCUCAACCCUCUAGAAUUGUGCAAUCAUUAUACGAUGCUGCAGCAAAGCACGGGUGGCUGGAGUUUUGUAACCACCCCCGAGAUCCUGUGUUGGAGCUAUUUGCAGCACUUGGAGGACCACCUACACCAAUUUGUUGUAUAUAUAAAAGUACCCAUAACAAUUUCCCUGAUUCACUGCUACAACAGUACAAUUUUGGUACCUCCAUUAUAGAAGUCAGUGAAGAUGUUGCUGACACAGAUAAACAUGAGGAAGAAACAGCAGCAGAACAGCAAGCAGAUGCUGAUAUAGAUGCUGAUAACCAGUCAGACCAGCAUGAAGAAUAAUGUGUCCAGUCUACAAUUGAUAGUUCCCCGACAGAGGAGGAGGAAAAGCAUGAGAAAGAACUCGAAGAACCCUCAGCCAGGACCUUUUCCAAGUCCAGGAAAAAGCACAUCAUACGAGAAAAGGAAGAUGAACCUGCAGAGGAGCCUCCCAUUCCAUUCCUCUCUCGAAAGGGCAAAGAGAAAGUAAUUACCCCUCCUGCAUCUGACGAUGAAGCCGAGCACAUUGAUGCAGAAUUGGAAGUUGCAGCAGCCAGGGUUACUCGUACACCCAUCGAGACAAAGCAUAUGCUUGAUAUCAUUGCCGCAAUCAUGACUGAGGGGUAUACAGUCGAAGACCCAACUCCAGCUCCCUCACGGCAAACCCCCAGCAAACCUAUUCUCGCUAGUCCUAAAGGACCCAGCAAAAGAAAGGGGGGCACUUCUGGAGGCAUUGCUGCAGUAGACACACCAGAGCCAAAGAGGACCAUAUCUGUUUUGUCCCAGCCAGCUGCACCCACUGCAACUCCUCCUACUAGCCCAUCGCAAAGAAAGAAAAAGUCAUUGCCAACUACCUCACCGCAAGAAUCUCCUAAAGACCGACUGCGGAGCGCCUCCAAAAAGCGGUGAAUUGGUUAUAAUUUAUUGCAGCAGUAUUUCUAGCACCAGGGGAGUACCACUACCCGCUAGUUUAUUUUACUUCUUCAUGCAACAACUUUUUCUUCAUUUAGUUUUAAUUUUCUGAUUUAUUUUGCAUGUCUUUUUAUUUAGUAUAUGCAUAUCUGGUUUAUAUGGUUUUGUUUUGUGUGCCUGUGAAGACACAACACCUUUCAAGUUUUGGGGGGUUGUGCUAUCAUAUAGUGUGUUAUUGAGUGCAUUGCAUGUGUUGUGGUGUUGUUUGUGAAGUGAAGCUCUGUAUCUACUGCUUAUGUAUGGAUUUGAAAGCCUAAUGAAGAUAAAUUGAGUGUUACUCAGUAUGUAUGAGAAUGCCCAGUAGGGAUAGUCAUAGAUGGAGAUUGAAAUUAUGUCCCGACACUUAGACUUUGGUUGAAAUUCAUGAGACUGCUGCAGCAAAAUCAAGAAAACUGCAAAGAGUAGAAAAUAUAUCAAGUUUAGGGGAAAUGUGUGUGUUGAGUUGUGCUUAUUAAAGUCUGUUCCAAUGGCUUAAAUGGUUGAGUAACUACGGCUGAGUAUGUACCCCAUAUGCAGACUUGAGUUAAAAAGCAACAAGAGUUAUGAGCAUUGUUGUAGCAAUUGAAAAAAAAAAGAAAAAAAAAAGAAGUCCUCUGUCUGAGAAAUUGAGUAGCCAUGUCUGUUAAUGAGCCCCAUGUUCAGCCUUGAGUUAAAGAUAUCUUUAGAUAAGACUAUGUUAUGACCAUUGCUAUAGCAACUCUGACAUGUACGUUGAGUAAGUAAUUGGGUGUCAUCAUUACAAGUGAUAGGCAUUCACAUGAAAGUUCAAUGUUGUAUUGAAGGGAGUGAAUAUAUAGAUAUAUAUAUAUAUAUAUAUAUUGUUUGUUGAAGCACAAUUUAUGUUUAUUUGUGAAUUAUGCUCUCCCAUAUAUGAAUAUAUUUGUGUUCUACCUUUGAAUUACAUGCAAUAUCUCUGUAAUGUUGUAGCAUCUCUGGACUUUGAUCAAAGUGGCACACACAUUUUGGACAGAAUGCAGCCUAAGUCUAGAACUGAACUGUUAUGGCUAUUUUGCAUGAUUAAGAGUGUGAUCUGAGGGUGGAAGAAUCCUUGCAACUUUGAUGAUAAAGCUGAGCUAUUUGUUGCAUGAUUGAGUGAUUGAAGUGUUAGCAUUGUUGUCAUUACUUAAAAACAAGUAAUGGUUUAAGUUUGGGGGUGUGAUAACUCUAUGAAAUGAGCGUUAUUAUGGUAAUGCUAGAAUUAAAUCAAUAUUUACUUAGAGAGUAAAUAAUGUGUUUCUAUUAUAUUUUUCUAUUGUAUUUAAUAAAUUUUACUUAGUUUAGAAUAAUUUGUGCUUAAAUUGUGUGCAUAAUUGUAGGUGUCCAGAAGCUCAUAUCUCAUGGAAGGAGUGCUGAUGCAAUAGGCUUGUAAAAAUGAGGAAGAACAUGGCUACAAAAGAAUUGAAACAAAUCUGGAACAAUGUAGUGUUGUAGCCGUUGCUGUAGCAACCAUUACUGUAGCAAUCCUGGAACAACGACAGAGAAAAUUUAGCGCGGGAUACUUGUAGAAUCGAGAUCUGCAGUUUUCUAAUCUGACUUAUGCGCGUCUUAGGCUUUUGUUUACCCUAAUUUUCAGUUAUAAAAAGAGCACGCAUCAUAUGGUAAAGGGGGCGGUGAAUUAACAUCGAAUAAAUAAAUCAAGAGGAAAAGAAGGAAAAAUCAGAAUUCAAGGGAGAGCAAGUUUGCACUAGUGAAGAGAUCGGCAGAACUAUUUGGAUUCAAUUUUCAUCAUUCUUUACUUGUCCCCUUUCUUACUCUUUGAUUGAACCGAUGUAUUUCAUGGCUGAUACUUUGUUGUUUGUUUUUCUUUUCCAAAGUAUGAACUAAAUUUGAUUGUAGUUGAGUGACAAAUAAUCGCAAUGGGUUUUUGACUAUUCUUAUGAGUUGCUGAAAAAUUGAUGUAGCAUUUUGCUCUAAUAGCUUAUAUUACAAUCAUUAUUUCGGUUGACUUCUCAUUUAAUGGUUAAAGUUAAAAGAAAGCCGUAAAAGGGCCUGUAUUAGUGGAAAUUAUUAGAGUAAUACUUGAUCUUAAUUUAAGUUUCCUAAAUUGAGUUUAACGUGAGUGCCAAAAUAGCCACACUUAAGUUAAGAUUUGUGAAGAACUAGAUAUAUGGAUUCAUCUUGUAGGGUAGAGGGGGUGUAUGUUCAUAAUGUCAUACCUUAGGUGAAAUAACAACUGGUCAUUGUUAGGGUGCUUAAGGGUAUGAGAAGUCCAACAAGAGACAGUUGAGGAUGCAAAAUAAUUAUGCCCAUGAAGAGAGUUUGAUCAUUCAGCUACCUCAUUCUCUUUAAAUUCUUCUUUACGCAAUUCAUCUAAUUUACUUUAUUACUGCAUUUAUUUUAUUAAAAUUGUUAAUUUCAGUAGUAAUCAACUUUAAUUAGAUUUCUCUUUAGAUAAAAGAAGUUUGCACUGUCGUGAUUGCUGUAGCAUUUCUAGUAACAUCAAUCCAUGUGGAGACGAUCUUGAAUAUUCAUCACUUUAUUACUUGUUGUGUACAUUUGCAUAUGACAUCAAUAACAAUUGAGUUAAAUUAACCAACAAUGUGUUAGAAGCCAAGAUUAAGAAAGAAGAUGUGAAUGUGGCUAUAAAAGAUUCUGACAUUGAGACAUGGUAUAAAAAGUUUGGUCACAUUGGUGAAAAAGGGUUAGAAACUCUUGCCAGAAAAAGAUUUCUACCCAGCUUCGUAGAUAUGUCCCUCAAGACUUUUGCUCAUUCCUUAGCUGGAAAGACACACAGAGUAGCUUUUAAAAGGUUUUCUCCAUCUAGAAAGUCGCAAAUCCUUGAUUUGAUUCACACUGAUUUUUGCAUGAUGUAAAGUAGAUCAAUUGGAGGUGCACUUUAUUUUGUUACUUUUAUUGAUGACUAUUCUACAAAGGUGUGGGCUUUUGCUUUGAAAUCUAAAGAUCAAGUGCUUGAUAUAUUUAAGUUCUUCCAUACUUAUUUUGAGAGAGAGACGAGAAGAAAAUUAAAAUGCGUCAGGGUAGAUAAUGGUGGUGAGUAUAAAAGGCCAUUUGACCAAUAUUGCAGAUCCCAUAGAAUUAGACUUGAGAAGACCGUACUAAAACCCCACUGUAGAAUGGUAUUGCAGAAAUGAUGAACAGAACAAUUGAAAAGAGAGUCAGGUGUAUGCCUUCUGAUGCCAAGCUUCAUAAAUCCUUCUGGGCAGAGACUAUGCGUUCUGCAGUUGACUGGAUUAAAUUUUUCUCCUUCAGCUCCAUUGAUGGUGAUGUACCUGAGAUAGUUUGGACUGAAAUAUAUGUUUAUUACAAACACUUGAGAGUGUUUGGUUACAGAAUAUAUGUUCACAUUCAUAAGGAUGAAAGAUCGAAGCUUGAUGACAAAGCUAAAAAAUGCAUUUUCUUAGGCUAUGGGCAUAAAGAAUUUGGGUACAGAUUAUGGGAUCCAGUGCCAAGAAAAUUGAUCAGAAGUAAACAUGUUGUGUUCCUCGAAGAUCAAAUAGUUAGUGAUGCAGAGAAUAGUGAUGAGUCUCAGUCAUCUCUAAAGAUUCCUAUUAUUCUAACUUUAGUUUCUUCAUCUAUAGUUCAUAAUGAUCAUGGAGGAGCUGGAGAGGAUAGUAAUGAUGGUCCAGCAGAACUAGUUGACCAAGCACCUCCAGAACCACCUGCACCAUCAAUGGAGCCUGAAUUGAGAAGAUUUACUAGAGAACGGUGACCUUCCACCAGAUAUCCUCCACAUGAGUAUAUGAUGCUUACAGAUGAAGGGGAGCCAUAAUGUUUUGAAGAAGCCAUGUUUCAAAUAACUCACAAUAACGAUACAAGGCUAGACUGGUUGAUGGGGUACCUAGCAACUUCUUGUUGUGUGGGCUGAUCAGACUUUACUUUCUUAGUUUCUGAUUCUUCUUAUGCUUGCAUUGUUACAGCAUAUACGGAGGGUUGUGCCUUUUUACGCUUGUUGGAUGCCCUAGGAGUUCUGCUAGGAGAUUUGAUGGGAGGUUGUUGAGUAAUGCUUACUGUAGUAGUUUCCCCAGAUGUGAUUUUAGCAAUAAUAUCAGGGAAACUCUUAUUUGCUUCAUCAGUUUUUGUAGCCCUGGUAUCAGCUGCUUUAAUUUCUGCAUCAAUAUCAUCUUGAUCAUUGUCUGAUUCUUCAUCAGUCAGAACUUUUUGUUUACCUUUACUUAGAAACACUGUAAUCGGGGGUUCAUCAUCCUGCCCAUCCUAUGUCUCAUCUUCGUAAACUUUUAUGAUGUGCUUCUUUUUACGUUUAGGAGGUACUACUGGAGGUGCCUCAUCCUUCUACGUUGCUGAUUCGUCUUCUGUACUAUAUUCCUCCUCUAUUUCUUCUUAUUAUUUUUCCUUCUUCUCUUUCUCUUCCUCUGCUGGUAGUGGGUCUUUUUCAGAUUCUAAUUCUUCUUCACUCUCUGCUGCUGCCUCAACUACUGGAGCAUCCCUUGUUAAUGUUUGGAAAUUAAACGGCUACAACAAGGAGUCAUGGAAAUCUUUGCUCUUUUUCUUCAUGUAGACUUCAAACUAAUGUCUAUGGUUUUCAAGGUGCAUUAAAUAAUUCCUGAAUCUUUGAUUUUGUUCUUUCCAUGCGUGUACACAUUCAUUAAUGGUGUCACUUAAUUCUUGCAGCUUCAUCUCAAUGCCAGUAACGUUCAUUGCUCUGGUCACAACAACAUACUCUGGUGUUGCUGUAGUAGUAGUUUCCCUAGCAAUUCUUUCAACAAUUCGAUCAGUAAGAGCUCAUUCAUUCUUAAUGCUUUCAUCUUUUGCUGAUAUUUUCACCCGAAAUACCAGACAAAUCCUAGUAAUGAGUGAGCGAAACAACAAAGCAGCAAUCUUGUGAUUUUUCAUGGCACACUCUAAUCUCCCUCUCUAUAAUUUUCCUCACAUCAAUUGGUAUACCCUUGAAAAUGGCAUAUAAUAGGUAAGAUUUUCAUGAGAUACGGUGGUGGUGUAUGUGGUGGGUAUCAAUCGAGAUUUUAGAAAUUUUACCCACACUUUGGCUACUGGUUUCAAAUCAAUUCUAUUCACUCCUCUGCCUUCCUCAUUCAACCAUGAACUACCCUCCACCAUAAGGAUUUCAAGCACAUCACUUCACUCCUUAGCAAUCAUAUUCUCAAUCAUUUUUGAAUACUCACAAUCAAUAUCAUAUGGUAAAUUAUAAAAAAGCAUUGAUUACCCUCGGAUCUAAAGGGACUUGAACAUUCCUUACCACUAUUGUGCAUUGGUCUUGCCGCAACAUGUUGGAGUAAAAUUCCUUAACGAUUGGGAGCACAAGGUCUCGUGGGUGAGUGUAAAAAUCUAGCCAUCUUUUCUUUGCUACAGCAACAUAGAUUGUGUUGAUUGUUCCUGAUGGUUGUUGAGGGAAUUGAAAAUCAUUUUCCUCUAAAAUCUUCUUAGGCUCUAUAAAUUCUUCAAAUUAUCCUCGGCUUUGUCACUAUGGAAGCGUGAGGGGUCCUUUAGUCGAGCAGUUGUCUUCUUGUACCACGUUAUUGCUAGAGCAACAAAACUGAGUUGUUGGGUACCUAAAAAAGAAAAAACUCAUGAAAGUGACUCUAAAGUAUGUGGAGAACUGUGGACUAGAAGAGAAAAAAUUUGGAUAAGAAUGAAAAGAAGCAUUGUGAAACCCUAAUUUAUAGGUCACGGUAAAAUAGAAAAAAAUAAUUAAUGAGGUAAAUUUAGAAAUUGUAUUUGAAAUUUAAAAUAAAUCCACAUUUACGUUCGGGAAUUUAGGGAUUAUGUAAUCCAUUCUUAUUUUUUAUCUUGAUUUCUUGAGCCAUCUAUCAAAAAUUUACUCCCAACGGUGCAAAAAUACUUUCCAUAGUUAUGUCACUAUAACGGUAAGAAUCAUUGCUACAACAAGUAAUAUAGUGCUGCAGCAACUGCGAUAAAGUCCCUAGUUUGAUGAGAACCAUUGUUCAACUGUCAUAUAAAGUGUAAUGCUGCAACAUCUUGUGUCAGUGUUUUAUCCAAAAAAAAUUCAUUAUUAUUUAUACAUGCCGUAAUAAAAUAAUAGACACAAAUAAAUUAGAUAAAAACUUCAAAAUAUCAACAACCGUAAAGAAAAACAUGAAAACUAAAUUUAAUGUUAAAGGAAAAAUUGAAAUAACUCCCUUAAUCAUUGGGUUGCCUCCCAAUUAGCACUUUAUUUAAGGUCUUUCAGUCUGACCCCCCUUAAUUGCUCAAACUGGAUUUAUGAGGCACAAAUCCUCCCUUGAAUGGUGAAAAUCAUCAUUAAUAUAGUGUUUCACCCGCUGCCCAUUUACUAUAAAUUCAAUGCUAGUUCUCUCAUCUUUGAGGUCCACAGCCCCAUGAGGAUGGAUUUUGAUAAGUCCAAAAGGCCCUGACCAUCUAGACUUUAACUUUCCUAAAAAAAAGCUUUGAUCUAGAGUUGUAGAGCAAAACUCAUUGACCUAGAAUUAAAUCCCUUUGCUGGAUGCGUUUAUCAUGCCAUUGUUUUGUUUUGUCUUUGCAAAUCCUUGCGUUAUCAUAAAAGAACUAUCUUAAUCUUUAAACUCACAAAGUUAAAACUUCCUAUGCUCUGCUGCAACAUGCAUGUCCAUGUUCAGUUGUUUUAGCGCCCAAAAUGCUUUAUGCUCUAGCUCCAGUGGCAAAUAGAAAGCUUUGCCAUAUAUAAUUUUAUAUGGUGACAUGCCAAGUAGUAUUUUGUAAGCUGUGCGAUAUGCCUGUAAGGAAUCAUGUAAUCUAAAAGACCAAUAUUUUCUAGUAGGGUUCACCACUUUUUCUAAAAUCCUUUUUAUUUCCUUGUUGGACACUUCUGGCUGACCAUUAGAUUGAGGGUGAUAUAUUGUAGCAACCUUGUGCUUAAUUCUAUAUUUGGCCAAUGCUGCAGCAAAUAUUCUGUUGCAAAAAUGAGUGCUUUCAUCACUGAUGAUGGCUCUAAGAGUCCCAAAUCUUGUGAAAAUGUUCUUUUAAAUGAAUCUCACCAUGGCUUUGGCAUCAUUUGUUGGUAGUGUUACAACUUCCGCCCAUUUGAACACAUAGUUUAUAGCAACUAAAAUGUAUAAAUCCCCAAAAGAGGGUGGGAAUGGACCCAUGAAAUCCAUCCCCCCAACAUCAAAUAGCUCAACUUCUAAAAUGUUGGUUAAUGGCACUUCAUGUUUUUUAGAGAUGUUCCUUGUUAUUUGGCACCUGUCACAACAUUUAACAAACUUAUAAGCAUCUUUAAAAAUAGAGGGCCAGUAAUAACCUGAUUGUAUAAUUUUUUUACUGCUGGUCUGUGGCCUCCAAAAUGGCCUCCAUAUGCUACAGCAUGACAUGAUUGCAGUAUGUUUGAAAUUUCUUCAUCAGAUACAUAUCUUCUAAUCAUAUAGCCUGAGCAUAUCUUGUACAAAUAAGGUUCAUCCAACUGAUAACUUCUAACAUCAUUAAGAAAUCUCUUCUUCUAUUGGUAACUUAGAUUAAGUGGUAACAAUCAGCUCACCAAGUAAUUAGCAAAAUCUACAUACCAUGGAAGCCCAGAUUAUUGUAGCAUAUGUGUAUGCUUUAGCAUUAACAAUUGCUCAUUAAGAAAUGUCUCUGUGAUCUCUUGCUUGAUUAGAGUGCUUUCAUCUGCUUCCAGCCUUGAAAGAUGAAAUUCUCCUUGGUUCUCAGUCCCUAUUCUUUGUUUAAUCUCGAAGUCAAAUUCUUGUAGCAAAAGGAUCCACCUUAUCAACCUUGGUUUGGCAUCUUUUUUUUAAAAUCAAAUACUUUAUGGCUAAGUAAUCUGUGUAAACAGUCACUUUGGUGCCAACCAAAUAAGCUCUAAAUUUGUCAAAUACAAAGACAAUUGCUAGUAACUCAUUUUUCAAUGGUAGUGUAAUUAAUCUGAGCAUCAGCUAAAGUUUUGUUAGCAUUAUAAAUAGAGUGAAAAAUUUUGUUCUUUCUUUGCCCUAACACUGCUCCAACAGAGUGGUCGCUGGCAUCAGAUAUCAACUUAAAAGGUAAGUUCCAAUCUGGUGUUAUAACAAUUGGUGCUGUAGCAAAAGCUUUCUUCAAUUCUAUAAAAGUCUUUAAACAAAGCUUACCAAAAUAGAAAGGCCUAUCAUGCUCCAGCAGCUAGCAUAAGAGUUUUGAUAAUUUAGAAAAUCCUUAAUGAAUGUUAUAUAGAAUUAUGCAUGUCCCAAGAAAUUCCUAAUGCCUUUAACUGAAGUAGGUGGUGGGAGUUUACUAUUUUGACCUUCUCCACUUAUAUUCCUUUUCUAGAGACUUUAUGGCUUAGGAUUAUCCCUUCUUGUACCAUAAAAUGACACGUUUCCUAAUUCAACACUGAAUUUAUCUCCUCACAUAUUUUAAGCAUAUUUUCUAGAUUAUGUAAACAAUCAUCAUAGAUCUCCCCAAAAAUCGAAAAGUCAUCCGUGAAUACCUCAAGCGUUUGCUCUACCAUAUUUCAAAAAAUAGACAUCAUACACCUCUGGAAUGUUGCUAAAGCAUUGCACAAACUAAAGGACAUCCUUCUUAAAUCCUUCUGAAAUAAGCAAAAGUUUCAUAAAGACAAGUGAAUAUUGUCUUCUCCUUAUCCUCUAGUGCUAUAGCAAUAUGGUUGUAGCCAGAAUACUCAUCCAAGAAACAGCAGUACUUUUUUCCAACAAGUAUGUCUAGCAUCUAAUCUAUGAAAGGCAACGGGAAGUGAUCAUUCCUUGUGGCGUUGUUUAGCUUCCUAUAGUUCAUGCAAACUCUUCAUACAGUUACUGUUUUGUGGGAAUAAGCUCAUUCUUCUCAUUUGUUGCAAUAGUCACUCCACCUUUCUUUGGAUCACAUUGUACUGGACUCACUCAGGAGCUGUCGGAUAUUGGGUAGAUGAUUCCAGCAUCAAGUCAUUUGAUAAUCUCUUUCUUGGUCAAUUUGGGUGAGUACUUGCUAGCAAUCCUCUAGCAAUUAAUUUGAAUUCUUAUAGCUAUUUGACAACUAUUAAUUUAUGUUUUUAUAUUUUCAUAUUAAAUAUAUUUAUUUAUUUAUUUUGAUAAAUUUUUAAAAAAUCAUUACUUAAAUUUAAUUAAUGAAAUAUUUUAAAAAAAUAUUAAAUUGAUAAAAUAAAAUUAUAAAUAAUAACUAUUUGAUGACAUUAAACAAGUUAAAAAGUUAAAGGGGUAAUUUUAAAAGCUUUGAUUUCCAAAAGAAGAAGAAUUUGAAUUCUUCAAUUCUUUGUAUAAAAUUCAAAUUCUAUAUUAGGAUGAAUAGUAAAUUCUAAUAAAAUUUAAAUUCUUAUAUAUUUUGUCCAACCAAACAAUUAAAAAAAAAAAUUCAAAUUACUUUCCUAUUCUCUAUCCUCACCUCCCAACCAAACACCAUCUAAACUCCUUAAUAUGCCACCCACAUAUUCAAACACCUUUGAGAAUCAAAGUAUCCCAGAUCUCCAGUAAGGAACCACCCAAAUUGAAAAGUAGUCUUAUUAGCCUCAGGAUUACCUUUAAUCAAAGUAUCCCAGAUCUUGCUAGCAAUCCUCUAGCAAGAUCUUGUACAUACAUAUGGAGGGGCUGAUUCAUUUGAUAUCUUUCAUGGUCUAUCUAAUGGCCUUCUUGUAUCUCCCCAACAUUUCCACUCAGCUCUUUACUUGAUCUGCAUUCAAAGAAGAUGAAAUGAUUACAUGUAGUGUGUUAUUAUCACCAAGAUAAACAUAUUUUAGAUGUGAAGGUAGAAGUUUUAAGUAUAAAACAUGAGGUAAUUCAAUAGAUGGUACAGCAGGUUUCACUUCCCCAUUUGAAAGAUCUAGAGACUCAAAAUGUCUGUUUGUCCUCACAGGUCGCUUCUCUCUUAACUAUGCUAUAUGCGUUGCUGCAGCAUCUUCAUCUUCAAGUUCUUCAAAUGUGGCGGCCUUGAUUUCUUCAUUGUUGCAGCAAUUAUUUAAGAUGUCUGUGACAGUAAGCUUCACAGCACCGACCAAAUCACAAUCUUCAACUUCAUCAAGACUCAUCAUUGCUUCCAAUACAUUAAAGGUAACUUACUGAUCAUUAACCCUCAUACUCAACUCUCAUUUUUUAACAUCAAUUAAAGUUUUUCCUGUGGCUAAAAAGGGUUUGCCUAGAAUAAUUUGUACUUCUUUAUCUGCUUCAAAGUCCAACACUAUGAAAUCCACUGGAAAAAUGAAUUUAUCCACUUUAAUCAAUACAUCUUCAAUUUUGCCUUCAGGAUAAGCAUGAGAUUUAUCAGCAAGUUGCAAUGUCACUGUGAUUGGUCUGACUUCUCCAACUCCCAAUUAUGUGAAUACUGAUAAUGGCAUAAGAUUAAUGCUUGCUCUCAAAUCACAAAGUGUCUUACUAUUGUAUUUAGUUCUUGUGGAACAAAGAAUUUUAAAACUUCCUGGAUCCUUUAACUUCUAAGGAAUUUUACUUUAAAGUAUAUGGUUCCAUUAUUGUCUUAAAGCAACUAUUUUGAAUUCUCCAAGCCUUUUUUUUCUUGCCAAUAUAUCUUUAAAAAACUUCACAUAAUUUGGCAUUUGUUCCAAUACGUCCACAAAAGAAAUUUUGAAAUGCAGUUGUUUUAAUACUUCCAAUAAUUUACUAAACUGCUUGUCAUGUUUUUACUUCUGAAAUCAUUACGGGAAGAUUUCCCCUUGGGUAUAAUUAGGUUAUGUUCUUCUUUUUGGUACUUUAACUAAAAUAUGAACAUCCUUUUCAGACCUUAAGUUAAUCACCUUGCAAUGCUCUUUUCUUUCUCUUCUUGGAUCCUCUGUAUUGCUUAGUAAAUUGCCCUAAGGUAUGUUGCUCAAUGCUGUAGCAAGCUGUCCAAUCUGAUUCUCCAAGUUUCUUAAAGAUAUGGCUUGACUUUGGACUACUACUUCAUUCUUCACAAUAUACUCCAUAAUUAGAGUUUCAAAGGAACUAAAUUGAUCAUUACUGGUGUUUAUUUUCCCUUAAAAUUGCUGAUGAAAUCCAAGUGGCUAAGCAGGUCUGUUAUGUCCAUUAGAUGUUGCAACAUGCUGAUUCUGAUUGCUCCAUGAAAAGUUUGGGUGCUGUCUCCAUUCAGGAUUAUAGAUGUUUGAAAAUGGAUUGGUUUGAUUUUGUCUAUUGAAAUUGCCCGCAUAAUUGACUAAGCUGGAUUUCCAGGACAACUAUCAUAUAGAUGUCCCUCUCCACAAUAAACACAAGAGACUUCAGCAACUUGGUUAGUUGUUGCUGGAGCAGUGGUCGUUGAUUUUACCAUAUUUGUUAAUGAGGUUACUUGGGCUGAUAAUGAUGUCAGUGCAUCCACAUUGUGUACUCCAGUUACUCCUCUUAUUGCGGCUUGUCUAAUUAAUGGCCAUUAAUAGUUAUUGUUGGCUAUCUUUUUCAAAAUUUCAUAAGCCUCAUUGUAUUACUUAGACAACAAGGCCCCUAGUGUUUGAGUUCAACCCAUUGUAGAUAGUUUCCAAUUGUACACAACAAGGAAUACCAUGAUGAAGGCAUCUCCUGGGUAACUCCUUGAAUCUUUCCCAUGCAUCAUACAAGCUUUCAUCUUCAAGUUGAUGGAAAGAUGUGAUCUCAUUCCUCAACUUUACAUUCUUUGUCGGUGGGAAAUAUUUCAUCAAAAAUUUGUCAGCCAAAUCAUUCCAUGUGGUGAUGGAGUCUAGUGGCAAAGAAUUCAACCAUGCCCUUGCUUGAUCUCUUAAAGAAUACGGGAAAAUUUUGAGUCUCAAUGCAUCUUGUGAUGCUCCAGCAAUUUUAAAAGCAUCACUUACCUCCAAGAAUAGUUUAAGGUGAAGAUGAAGAUCUUCUUAUGGCAAUUCAUUGAAUUGCCCCACUGUUUGUAAUAUCUAAAACAUCACUGGUUUGAGCUCGAAAUUGACAACUUGCAUUUCAGGUCUAACUAUUCCAGGAUGUAUAACUUGAGGGGUCAACACGGCAUAGUCUCUAAUGGCUCUGUCUCUAUCAUCUGUCAUGUAGAUAAUAUUGUUGUUCCCUGGUUGUCCCCAAAUAUUCUGCUCAUUAUGGCUUUCUUGGUCAUUAACUGGUUAUAUUUCUCUGUGAGGGUUCAAGUUCCUCAUAUCUUGCAAAUCGUCCAUUACUACAGCAGCUUUUGAAUGCUUAUUCUCUUUCCUCAAUCUCCUUACAAUUCUUUCAAUCUCUGGAUCAAAUUGGAAUUCAACAUGUUUGUAUUUGCGCAUGCAAGGGUUGGUAGAGCUCUUCUACAAACACAUUAAAAAAAAAGAAAAUUAAAAUCUUGCAUCAACUAAAAUUGAUUUCACAAAACACAAUAAGCACCAAUCCCCGGCAACGACGCUAAAAACUUAUUGUAGGUUUUCUAAUGCUAUUAGUGUCAAUGUGCAAGUGCACAUAACAAGUAAUAUAAUGAUAAAUAUUCUAGAUUGUCUCCACAAGGAUUAUUGUUAUAGGAAUUGCUACAACAAUUUUAUCAGUGCAAUUUUUAUUCUAAAUUAGAAUUAAAAUAAAUUAUUAAAUUAAUGAACUAAUUAAGAUAAAAAUGCAAUAAGAAAAAUACAAUAACAUAAAUUAUCACAGCAAAUAUAAGGAUGUAACCAAGGGGAAUGGAGUAGUUGAGUAAUUAAACUCACUUAAUGGUUUUGAUUAUUUUUCUAAUGUUUGGUUCGAUUACUACAACAUCUUCUACAGCACUGGGAAGAAUCCUUAUGUAUCCUCAAUUGUCGCAUGUUGGAUGUCUUAUACCUAAAAACAACUUAACAAUGACCAAUUGUUAUGCUAACAUUAGAUAUAGCAUUACACGUUUUAGAUUCGAAUUACCCUACAAGGUGAAUCCUUAUAUCUAGUUCAUCACUAAUUUUAGAUUACGCAUGACCUUUUUUUAAUCAGGUUAAACCCAAUUCAGGAAACCCAAUCUAAACCCAACUUAGGAAACCUAAUCUAAACCAAGUAUUGUUAUGAUAUGUUCCACUAAGACAGGUCUUUAUAGGCUCUAUCUUAGCUAAUAUCACUAAAUGGGUGGUCAGCCAAAAUAGUGAAUUGAAAUAAGUAUUAUUAAAACAACGUACUAUAGCAAACAUGCCCCAAUAUAGUAUAUCAGUCAAUUAACUAUCAAGUUUGCUCAUCGCUCAACCACGAGUAAAUUUAGUUCAUAAUUUGCAAUAAAACAAUAAUCAAAAUAGUUUUAGCCAUCAAAUAAUCCAUCAUAACAAGAUAAAAGUAAGAGAACAAAAAAUAAGAGUUGAGAUCUGUUUGAUGUUCUUCUAGAAUUCUUUGUUGCCGUCUUCGAUUCUCUCUCUUGAUAUUUGUUUUAUCUUGUUUUGUUUCUCUAUUGUUUCUCUCAAAUGACGGUCUCUCCUUUUUCUUUGCGUUUGUACUUCUUUUAUAUCUUAGCAUCAGGGCAACCGGAAGCCUAGGGUGCGCAUAUUCUAGUUUAGGAAACUCAAGAUCGCAAUCUUCCAAGUAUUAUAAGCGAAAUCUUUUCUGCCAUUGUUCCAGGAUUGCUACAGGAACAAUGCUACAGCAAUGGCUUCAGCACCUGCACUGUUCCAGAAUUGUUUCAAUUCUUAUAUAACCAUAUUCUUUCUUUAUCUUUGCAAGCCUAUUGCAGCAGCAUUCCUCCCUUGAAAUUUGAGCUUCCGGUCACCUAUAAUUAUAUUAUGAUCUAAGCACAAAAAUUAUUCUGAAACAAUGCAAUUUAUUAAAAUAAACUAUGGAUAUUCAUACAAAAUAUAACUAAAAUGCAAUAAAAAUAUGCCAUUUACUCUCUAAGUAAUCUUGAUUUAAGUCUAAAAAUGUCAUGAAAACUUUCAUUUCACAGAGUUAUCAGCAGCAAAAGGGUUAAUCCAACUAUUGAUUUAGAUCAAGUCUAUAAUGACAAUAACCCCUAACUAUUUGAGCUUAAAGCUCUUGCCAGCAAAUGGGCAAUUGGGAUGAAAGUCCUCUAUAAACAACUUGAAUAGAUAAGUAAAGAAAAAAAAAUGUGGCUUCACUAAGUCAAAACAAAACAUAUAAUCUAUUCAUUCAGUAAAAAAGAAAACAUUUUAGCCAAGCAAGCCAUCUUGAAAAAGAAAAAGGCAAUAUAUGAGAAUCUCGUGGAAUCCAACCUGCCAACACACAGUGGGAUAUGCAAGGUGCUUAAUCAUCAAUCAGAUUCUGGCUUUUGCUAUAAAAAAAAAAUCAAAAGAAUAAUCUAGUAAGGAAGACAUGCCGCUAGAUGAAGAGCUCAUAAUUAACACGUGACAGGAGGCCACUAAAAAGAUAAAGAUGCCAACUAGAAGCAUUAAUAUUUCAGAAAGAAUCCAAAGUAAAGGAUAAGACUUAUCGAAAUCCUUACCUCAACCAUGUGAAGACUAUCAACCAUUAGAAAAAGAAGACAAAAGUUGCCCUUAAUAAUGCAAGAAGAAGGGGUUACCUUAUCUCUGGGAAAUCUAUCAGGCAACAAGUGUCAUGUAAAAAGAUAUAAUCUUAUCUCUAAAAUCUAUAUGUGUAAGAAAGGAUUAUCUUAUCUAUCUAAAUCUAUAAAUAAAGUCACGUAAGAUAGAAGAGGUAUCACUCACGAGCAUUCUCUUAUUCUCAUCUGUAUUCUCUCUUUAAAUUCAAAAAUUAAAUAAAAAAAUUGUUUUUGAGUGAAAUUAUUAUCUUUAUAUAACUUAUUUAGAUUUUAGAAAAAAAAAAUCAAGAAUAUACAUGCCAACACUUGUGCUAAAUAAAGAAGAUUUCAUAUUACUAAGCACUCUUCUAUAUCAAUUACAACAGAUUCACUUAGGCAUAUCUUACUGGCUUAGUCUGCAAUGUGUUGCUUUAGGCCGUGUGGAAUAGUUGUGGGAUUGAUCUUGCAUGAUGUGUGGAGCUAUAACAGUGCUGAGCAUGGGCCAAUUUAUAGGCUCAUGGAACUAGCAAAAUUAUUCUAGAAUUUUGAGGAUUGUACUCUAGUUAGUACUCUAAAUUAUCUUAUUAUAUUUUGCACAAAUAAAUGAUAUAGAGUGAUAAUAGCAACUCAAUUUUCAUAAAACAUGGAAAGAUGAGUCGCCAAAUUUCUAGAUGCCAUAGAUAAUCUAGACUUUAGUAAGGAAUAUCAAGUUAUUUAUACAAUGAAAAUUGUUAAAUCUCGAUUAAUUGCAAGGAAGCACUUGUAGAGAGAUAUAGAGAGAAUAAACUAUUAGCCUAAAAGGGCUACACAUAUUGUAAUUUUGAUGAUAACAAACAUGUGUCUUAAGUGAUUUGAUAAAUAUUGUAUAUCACAUUUUCAUUAGUUCUUGAAAGAUAAUAUUUAUGAUGAAGUGAAUCACGAAAAAUCAAGCUCAAGACACUCAACGGACAACGGCGUGAUCAAGAAUAAAGUUUAGAGUUCAACGGAAUCAUUAUUGCGACAAUUCUUGUAAAGCCGGUAUGAUUUAAAAUAUGAAUGAUUUAGCAUUUAAAAAGCUCAAGAUUUUGUUUAAUAAAUCAUUAUUUUUUCAUAAAUCAAAAGUUUUACAAGUAUAAGCUAAGUAUUUUAUGAAAUUAGUUAUUUUUCAAGAUGUGGACUAAAAUGAAAAUUUUUUACAAUCUUUGAUUUUAAAAAGUAUUGUUUUGAAUUCCAGAGUUUGACUUAUUUGCAAACAUUUAAAACUUUUUAGGUCAUACUAUAAUUUAUGAACGUUUGAGGACCCGAAGUGAAAAUAUCCAAAAAUUUGAUAAAGAGUUAGCGGCUAAUCGCCUGAGGGCUAGCGGCUAGCUGCCUAAGGAAAAUCUCAUAUUUUCAAAUUUUGGACUAAAUUAAAAGAUUUUGAGAACUUUGAAAUUUAUAAGUAUUAUGUUAAAUUUUGAAAAAAAUUAUUAAACUUUGGACCAUAUCAUAAUUUCAAAAAGUUUUUAGAAUAACAAGUAUUAUUUUAAAAUUCAAAAGUUGGACCUGUUUGUAAAGUGUUAUAACGUUUUGGGCCAUAGUAUAAUUACAUAAAGUUUUGGGCACAAAUGUAACUUUAUUGUUCUGAAGCAACGAGCCGGAUAAAUUAAGUGGCUAGUCACUUGUUUGCUGGAAUUUACCCAUAACGGCUAAUUUUCAAGCUUUAUCUAUAAAAACUCAACUCCAACUUCAAUUUGGAGACUUUUGCAAGCAUAAACAAGUGCAUAAAAUAUAUAUUGAGCUUUUAUUUCGCAAAUCAUCUUAUAUUGAAUCAUCAUUGUGCUAUUAUUUGUAGAUCUACUCUAAAAGAGAGUUUUUUUUGUUGUAUUAUUCAUUUUUCUCAUCAAAUUUGUAAGUGUAUAAGUGUGAGAAACACUUAUGUGAAGAGAUUGAGAGAUAAUCUCUUGGUUGUAAAGGUUUAUUGACAUCUUGAAAGUCAAAUGUAAUGAACUUGAAGCCUUGGGAAACUUGAAUAGUGAAAUCCUUAAGGUUGGUUGGCUUGGAGGCAUGGACGUAGGCGGGGAUUGCGGAACCACGUAAAAAUUAUUGUGUUUGCUCUAUUUUCCCUUACUCUUCUAUUAUUGUACUUUAUUGAAUUUUUUAUUUUUUAUUUGAUUAAGACAAUAGAUUGAAUUGUUGUGCGAAUUGUUUAGCGUAAGUUUUAAAAUCUCAAUUCACCUCCCCCCCCCCUCUUGGAUUGCAUAACUUGCAUUUCAUAAACUUUAAAGAUAAUAAUUAAAUAUACGACAGCUUUAAGGAAGAAAAUAGAAUAGUAUUAAUAGAAUCUAUUUUAACCGGUCUUGAAAUAAUUCAAGACAGAUGCAAAAUAAAUAACAGGACUCUAAACCGUCCAUAAUAAGUCUAUUGAUGAAUAAAAACAAUAAUAGUGAUGUGAAUAUAUUCGGAUUUUAUAGAUUUUUAUGAAUUUGAUAACCAUUUAGAUCUUUAUAAAAUUAUAAUAAAACUUUAAAAAGCUUUAAAAAUAUAUGUAGAAAAGAUGGAAGAAGAAAUCAUCCAUUUAUUCAAAAUCAAUUAAACAAAAAUAAAAGGUAAAAUACUUGAGUUAUAUCAAUUAUACAAUUUCACAAAAAUUUUACAUAGAUUGCAAAAAGGUCCUUGUGGCACUACAGCAGGUUUCAUAAAUUUUUUACAUACAAAUUUUAUGUUUUAAAAUAUGAAUUUUUUUUUGUAUUUAAUACUUUGUUCAACUAUAUGUACAGGUCCUCAACGUGUUGGUUGAUGUUGAAUAUUCAAAGAUCCACAAGCUAUCAAUGACAACGACUCAAAUUAAACUAAUUCGUUAAUACAUAAUAACUGGGUUGUUUCCUAUGCUUGUUAAUGAUGUAGGACGUUGUUUUAGAAUUUUAGAAUUUUAAUUUUUUAGGUCUUCUGAUAUUUUCUUUUUUAAUUAAAGUUAGUGUCUUAGUCUUUUAUUUCUAUUGUAAUUAUGAUUUACUUUCCCUUUUUAAGUUAACUUAUAAAAGUAGAUUUACUCUAUUAUAAAUAAAGAGAUCUUGUUAUCGCUUUUAUAACUUCAACUUCAGUUAUUAAAUUAAAAACCCCUCUUUUAUAAUUUCCUUUGGUAUUAUCUAUUAAAAAUUCCUCUUUUAGAGUUGUUUGAUUAGAGUAUCAUUUAGCCUAUCUUAACACAGUAUUAAAAAUCCCAUUGAGUUUAAUCAUACUUCGAUUUGAGCGUAAUUAAUAGCAUUGAUUUGGUCCAGUACUUGAACGAUAUCUAGUGUUUUGCUUCUGCUACGCCCAAGGAGAAAAUGAAUUUCACCGUGAGAUAAGAGCAUUAAAAGGAAUUCAUAAGAAAUUUAAAUUAAAUUAGCUACGAAGUGAAAAUAAAUAAAUAAAUAAAUGAAUAUGAAGUUGAAAAUAAGUCUCGCCGCCUGGAUCCAAGGCCAAAACAUUCAUGAUAAGUUAGGUAAUUAAGUACAUGUUUUCAAGCUCUUCAUGAAGAAUAAUGUUAUUGAAAUAAAUCACAAAGACUCCCUGCGCAAAUUAUUACAUUGAUUAAAAAAAAAAUGCCAUAUCUUUAACAGGAUCGUGGCUCUCGGACUGUUAAUUACUUUAUUCCCUGCUUGGCCAACAGCUGGCCACUAAACAAAAUCAUAAAAAUUUUAAAUUUAGUCAAAUUGGUCCCACUUGAUGUCAUCCUUUUCAUACAUAAAAUUGUUUAACGUCAAGGUUAAAUAUGAGAAGUUUGGUAGAGACGGUAAAAAGGAAGUCUAUAUAAGGAGGGGAACGAGCUUUGUUUAUAGCACAAGUGAAACUCCACUUUAUUGAACGAUAGGGUCUCAAAUGGGCUGCCUCUUUGCCACUCUUUUGGUAGUAUCAGUCUCUCUUAGCUACUUGCCGUUAGAAGCCUCCGCAAACAAAUACUACUACACAUCUCCUCCCCCUCCCAAGUACAAGUCUCCACCCCCCCCGCCACCGGUUCACAAUUCUCCACCACCACCCCCGGUUUACAUGCCCCCGCCACCUCCUCCACCAGUCUACGUGCCUGCUCCGGCACCAACUCCAAUUUCCUAUUCCCCGCCACCUCCUGUCCCCAAGUCCCCACCACCACCUCACCCUUACGUCUAUGCAUCUCCCCCUCCUCCUUACUACUACUAGAAAGCGGCCAUGAAUAGCUCAUGCUUUUAUGGUAAUCUCAUUUAUUUUUAAAACUGUACAUGUAAAGACUAGUAGUUCAGAAUUAAAUUAAGCAUUUCAAUUUUAAGCACCGUGUUCUGUUUAAUUGCGUUCCUAUUGAUUAAGUGACAAAUAAAAGAGAUUGAUUAAUUUGUUCUUGUAGGAGAGGCGAAUGGUAUCCGAAUAAAGAAAGCAAGGGUUUGAUGGAAAGCUUACUUGGAGCAAGAUAGCGAUCAAUCGAGUUGCUGCGUUUUAUUCUCUUUUAUCUUUGUUUUUUAAGAAAAAUAAACUGCCACACGUGGAAACAGAAAAGUUCUUGUCAUUUUCAUGCAUAUGGAUUGUUGCUAUGUGUGUCAAUCAAAUCUCUGGUGUGUCAUUUGUAAUUUUCAACCUUUAUGCAUGCGAAUGCGAGACCUCUUUCGUAUAAUAAAAUUAAUAUACUUCCCAAGACGGUCUUAUCUUGCGUUGACUUUUUACGUUCUUUGGUGAUGAUUUU
rnacentral:lncRNA from 1 species